UGGGGAAUAUUGCACAAUGGGGGAAACCCUGAUGCAGCGACGCCGCGUGAACGAAGAAGGUAUUCGUAUCGUAAAGUUCUGUCCUAUGGGAAGAUAAGGACAGUACCAUAGAAGAAAGCUCCGGCUAAAUACGUGCCAGCAGCCGCGGUAAUACGUAUGGAGCGAGCGUUGUCCGGAAUUAUUGGGCGUAAAGGGUACGCAGGCGGUUUAAUAAGUCGAAUGUUAAAGAUCGGGGCUCAACCCCGCAAAGCAUUGGAAACUGAUAAACUUGAGUAGUGGAGAGGAAGGUGGAAUUCCUAGUGUAGUGGUGAAAUACGUAGAUAUUAGGAGGAAUACCAGUAGCGAAGGCGACUUUCUGGACACAAACUGACGCUGAGGUACGAAAGCGUGGGGAGCAAACAGG
rnacentral:rRNA from 1 species